GCCUACGUAGUGUAGUGGCCAGCACAUUCGGUGCGUAUUCGAGAGGUCCAUGGUUCGAGUCCUGGCGAGGGCA
rnacentral:tRNA from 1 species